rnacentral:rRNA from 1 species
GAUGAACGCUGGCGGCGUGCCUAAUACAUGCAAGUCGAACGAAACUUCUUUAUCACCGAGUGCUUGCACUCACCGAUAAAGAGUUGAGUGGCGAACGGGUGAGUAACACGUGUGCAACCUGCCCAAAAGAGGGGGAUAACACUUGGAAACAGGUGCUAAUACCGCAUAACCAUAGUUACCGCAUGGUAACUAUGUAAAAGGUUGCUAUACUACCGCUUUUGGAUGGGCCCGCGGCGCAUUAGCUAGUUGGUAGGGUAAAGGCUUACCAAGGCAAUGAUGCGUAGCCGAAUUGAGAGGUUGAUCGGCCACAUUGGGACUGAGACACGGCCCAAACUCCUACGGGAGGCAGCAGUAGGGAAUCUUCCACAAUGGGCGAAAGCCUGAUGGAGCAACGCCGCGUGGGUGAAGAAGGUCUUCGGAUCGUAAAACCCUGUUGUUAGAGAAGAAAGUGCGUGAGAGUAACUGUUCACGUUUCGACGGUAUCUAACCAGAAAGCCACGGCUAACUACGUG